rnacentral:ncRNA from 1 species
AAGGCCUGAUGUGUGUGAGAUUACCCGCUGAAUUUAAGCAUAUAAGUAAGCGGAGGAAAAGAAACUAACUAGGAUUCCCUUAGUAAUGGCGAAUGAACAGGGAUCAGCUCAGUGCCAAAUCGGAAUCACUUGUGGUUCUGAAAUGUGGCUUGAAGGCAGUACCAGUGGCAUCGCGGACGAAAGUCUCUUGGAAAAGAGCGUCAUAGAGGGUGAGAAUCCCGUGAGUCGUUCGCCGUUUGUCACGUACGGUCUGCGUUCUAACGAGUCGCGUUCCUUGGGAUUGGAGCGUAAACGGGUGGUAAAUUUCAUCCAAAGCAAAAUAUAUACUCGAGACCGAUAGCACAAAAGUACCGUGAGGGAAAGGUGAAAAGAACUUUGAGAAGAGGGUUAAAUAGUGCCUGAAAUCGUUGAGAAGGAAGCGGAUGCCGCCGUUGCAUAUGCUGAUUGUAGGAUUGCUGCUCGCUCCUGUCUUCUGCUACUCAUUCACAGACCUGGUCGUGUUGAGCAGUUGUUUGGCAGAUGUUAGUGGUGUUUCCUACUUUCAGUCGUCAGCAUCAUUGGGCUGAGUGGAAAUAAUCCUUGGAUGCUAAUUGGGUCGCUAUCUGUGAAUUGGUUGCUUCCUUGCGAUACUCACUA